rnacentral:rRNA from 1 species
UACGUAGGGUGCGAGCGUUAAUCGGAAUUACUGGGCGUAAAGGGCGCGUAGGCGGCCUUGCAAGUGACGGGUGAAAUCCCUCGGCUUAACCGAGGAACUGCCUGUCAAACUGCGAGGCUUGAGACCGGGAGAGGUGAGUGGAAUUCCCAGUGUAGCGGUGAAAUGCGUAGAUAUUGGGAGGAACACCAGUGGCGAAGGCGGCUCACUGGACCGGUACUGACGCUGAUGCGCGAAAGCGUGGGGAGCAAACAGG